AUGGGGAGCAUUAACGAGCCACUAUUACCGGAAUCAAAAACCACAGAAGUUGGAUUCAAAGAUGAAGAAAAGAAAGAUCUUUCAUCAAGAGUGUGGAUUGAAUCCAAGAAACUAUGGCGCAUCGUGGGUCCCGCAAUCUUCAGCCGCAUCGCUUCUUACACCAUGAACGUUGUCACCCAAGCCUUCGCUGGCCACCUUGGCGAAGUUGAGCUUGCUGCCAUUUCCAUUGCCAACACUGUCAUUGUUGGCUUCAAUUUUGGACUAUUGGUAAUUCUUCAAAAUUACAUACGGAAUACUAAUUAAUUAUCUCAUGUAUCAGAUAUAUUAUCUUCAUGUCUCGAUUGCCUCACAAUUGUGUGAGGCUUACUCAGUGUUAAAAAAAGAGAUGAUGCAUAUAUCUUAUGCAUCCGAGAAAUCAUUUUCUCAUGUUCAAAAAAGUACUUAUAUCCAAAACACAAAAUACUUUAUAGUGUGAAAUAAAUGAUAUGUAUAUAAUAAUAAUAGAAAAUAAUAGAGAAUGAUUGACUAAUUUGUUUAACAUUGCAUGGUUUUGGGUAUUUUUGUUUUGGGCAUGCAGUUAGGGAUGGCAAGUGCGUUAGAGACAUUAUGUGGGCAAGCAUUUGGUGCGAAGAGGUACCACAUGUUGGGAAUAUACAUGCAAAGGUCAUGGAUUGUGCUAGUCCUAUGCUGUUUCUUGCUACUACCCUUCUACGUUUUCGCCACUCCGCUGCUGAAACUCAUAGGACAACCCGAUGACGUGGCAGAGGCUUCAGGUGUGGUGGCUUGUUGGUUAAUACCAUUGCAUUUCAGCUUUGCGUUUCAGUUCCCAUUGCACAGGUUCUUGCAGUCCCAGCUGAAGAACAUAGUGAUUGCUUGGGUUUCUUUGGUGGGUCUAUUGGUGAAUGUGUUAACUAGUUGGCUAUUCGUUUAUGUGUUGGAUUUUGGCCUUGUGGGUGCGGCUCUUGCUUUGGAUAUCUCCUGGUGGGUUUUGGUUUUUGGAUUGUAUGGCUAUACUGCUUUUGGUGGCUGUCCUUUGACUUGGCAUGGGUUCUCCAUUGAAGCCUUUUCUGGCCUAUGGGAAUUUCUCAAACUCUCUGCUGCUUCUGGUGUUAUGCUUUGGUCUAUCUCUCUCUCUCAAUUAUUCAAUGUUUCUAAAAUUAGAAAUUCUUCUUUUACAUUGCAGUAUAAUGUAAGUUUACAUUUUUAAAUACAUUAAAAGUGACAAAUGUUAUACUCAGCAUUUGUCACAAAUUUUUGUGUCUAUAAUAUAAAUUUAUGUUACAAGUACAAUUUAAGCAUAUUAAAAAUCCUUCAAAAAUAAUAAUGUGUCAUAUUGAUUAAAUUUUAGUAGAAUAAUUCUCAAAGUUCCGAAUAAUUCCACUCUUUUCUAUUUUAUAUCCCAAUAAUCAUAAUCUGCACAUUUUGUUCCUAGAAAAAAGAAAAAGAAAAUAGAAAAGAUAUAUUAUUAUAAUUGGUGGAUUAAAAAAAAAUGAAACAUUGUUCAACCCAAGGGGAUAGAUGAUUUUAGUUGGUGUGUUUUAUAUUCACUGUUCCAACAAUCAACUGUUUCUUUGAUUUCAUUUGUUAUUUAUUUAUUUUUAUGUGGGUGUUGUUGGUGAUUUGUGUAGCUUGGAGAAUUGGUACUACAGAAUACUAAUAUUAAUGACUGGGUCCCUACAGAAUGCCACUUUAGCCGUGGAUGCGUUGUCAAUCUGGUACGUGGUUCUCUUUUCCAUGCAUGUUAUUAGUUAUAUAUUGCUGUCAUGUGUUUACUAAAAAAUAAAUAGUUGUUACUGUCAUGUUAUAUACAAUUGCAGCAUUGGAAUUUGGUAGUUUGGUAUAUACUAGAAAGUUUUAAAAAAAAAAUUGUAACACUUUUUCUGUUUGUUUGGUGGAUUUUCUUACAAUUUUGCAGCAUGACUAUCAAUGGCUGGGAGUCGAUGAUUCCUUUGGCUUUUUUUGCUAGUACCGGGUACAAAUUGAGAACUCCUUAGUCCUUUUCCCAAUAUUUGAUUGUCUUAUCAUGUAGUAUUUCUUUCAAUAUAAAUACAUACAUACAUACAUAUAUAUAUAUAUAUAUGUAUGUAUGUAUAUAUAUAUAUAUAUAAUUUUAUAUAACUAUUAAUUAAGAGACCAUUUGGUAAAAAUAAAAAGACUAUUAAAAGAUUGGAAAAAUUACAUUUUACCAUUUUAAACUAUAUUCUAAAUUACAUUUUGUACCAUAAACUAAGCGAAUGUAUAGUUUGCAUCCUAAACUAUCACUAUUGUUACACUUUGCAUCCCAACGUCAAUUUUACUAUUAAAUUAGAUGGAAAUUAGAUGGAAAUAUGAAACACGUGACUUGCACAUGUGUAUUACUUUAAGUGAGAAAAACCUAAAAGAUCAAAACACCAUCUUCAUAAUAAAUUAAAAGCAAAACUUUUUUUUUUUCCAGCUCUCUCUUGUGCUGCGUAUUAGCCCCUGCCAACUACUCCACCACUGUGUGUUAAUUGAUUACUUACUUUUUUUUUUUUCUUUUUUCUUUUUUUUUCCUCUCUUUAUUUGAUUGCCACUAGAGUGGCUCACCCCUUAACCCAAGCCCCUUCUCAUCACAAAAACUAAAAUUGGUCUCUAUUUAGAUUCCAACUACUUUGUAUUUUAGAGAAGUUCACGAUUCCCAUGCCCUUUAUUUUACCUCAUCAAUUCUCUUCCCUAGGAUCAUUCACAACACUUCCAUAAUGACCAUGACCAAGCUAUAACAACCUCAUUGUAGCAUAUACACAAUCAAAACUACCAAAUAUGAUUCUGAUUUGGGGAUUUAGGGUUGCAAGAAUUUUGAUUUGGGGAUAGAGGUUGAUACGCAUGAGAGAGAGAGUCAGAGAGUUGAAAAAAAAAGUUUUGUUUUUAAUUGAUUGGGAAGAUGGAGUUUUGGUCUUUUAAGUUUGUGUCACAUAAGCAAUACGCAUGUGUAGGUCAUGUACUUUAUAUUUUCAUCUAAUUUAAUAGUAAAACUAACAUUGCGGUGCAAAGUAUAACAGUAGUCAUAAUUUAGGGUACAAACUGUGCAUUUAAAUAGUUUAUGGUGCAAAAUAUAAUAUAAGAUAUAAUUUGGACAAAACUUAAGUACAGUACAUUAGAUGUUGUUUCUUAGGUUCUCCUCUUAAAAUUUAGUCAUGUAGCUAUUUAACUAAAAAAUAUACUUUCAUCUCAUGAAAAAAAAUCUACAUGACAGAAUCUUAAAAGGAGAACCUAAAGAACAGUACUUAAGUACUAUACCUAAGUCUUGCUCAUAUAGUUUAGGGUAUAAUCACGUGUUCAUAAAUGCACCUUAAAAAAAAUCCAGAAAAAGAAAAACUUACCUAAAAAUAGGGGUGCCAACCUACUUGUUUAGGUAAAAAAGCAAGUGUAGAAAUAAAAUGAAAAGUAAUACUGACUUUUUGUUAAGAAAAUAAUUUUAAAACUUAAAUAAAACAGAGUGAAAGAGGAUGAGAAAGAGAGAGAGAGAGAGAGAGGAGGGAAAGAAUGAUUUGAAUUUGGAACUUAGUGUGCAAUUUGGGUGAAAAAGAUAAAAAUGAUGCUAGGGAAUGAUUAGAAUUUGUAACUUACUGUAUCACUUUAAAAUGCUUUUAGUUUGAUUUUUUUAACAUAUAAUGAUAGUUAUUUGAAACUUUUGUCAUGGAAUUUACAGAGUUAGGGUAGCCAAUGAGUUAGGAGCUGGGAAUGGCAACGCAGCACGAUUUUCAACAAUUGUCUCUGUAAUACAAUCAAGUGUGAUUGGUAUCUUUUUUUGCGCUGUAAUCAUGAUACUCCAUGACAAGUAUGCCUAUUUAUUCACAUCCACCACUGAAGUGCUUGAAGCAGUUGAUAAGCUCUCUGUUUUAUUAGCUGCUACAAUUCUCCUAAAUAGUGUUCAACCUGUUCUAUCAGGUAAUUUCCAAUAAGAUUUUAUACUUUUGAAAACCACAGUGUAUAGAUGUACUUCUUGAAGAGCACCAUGAAUAUGAACCGUGAAAAAUACCAUAGAAUUGAACAAAUAAAAAUCCACUGUUCUAAUGUUUGUCUUUCAUUCUAUGUUCUAUUAAUCAUUACCUAACAAAUGAUAUAUCACAUUUGAUAGAAUAUAAAAUGAAACACUCUUAGUCAAACAUAUUAUUUUUGUUUGUUUUAAACCUAUAUUUGCUAAUUAUACCUUUGAUUUGAAAAUUGGCAUUAAAUUUGGUCAAAACUUAAUAAAAGAAGAAGGUAUAGGUUAUCAAGCGAUGUCUCUAAGAACUAGUCUUUUCCUCUUUGAAAUCAAUUGUAAAUAUAUUUUCUUCACUAUGACAGGAGUGGCUGUUGGAUCGGGAUGGCAGGCAUGGUUUGCAUAUAUAAAUUUGGGCUGCUACUAUGUCGUUGGGCUCCCGCUUGGACUUCUAAUGGGAUUGGUCUUCGACCUUGGAGUUUUGGUUAGUGUUGUAACUUCUUUCAUUAGCCUCCAAUUCAGUAGAGAUUAUGAUAUAUACCUAAUCCGCCACUGGCAUUGUGGGCAUUUAUAUAUCAUAGUUGGUUCAGCCUCAACAUGGCCUAUAAUGAACAGAGUGAAGUCUAAAACCAAGUUCAGAACCCAAAAAAUUUAAAAGGAGAACCUAAAGAACAGUACUUAAGUACUAUACCUAAGUCUUGCUCAUAUAGUUUAGGGUAUAAUCACGUGUUCAUAAAUGCACCUUAAAAAAAAUCCAGAAAAAGAAAAACUUACCUAAAAAUAGGGGUGCCAACCUACUUGUUUAGGUAAAAAAGCAAGUGUAGAAAUAAAAUGAAAAGUAAUACUGACUUUUUGUUAAGAAAAUAAUUUUAAAACUUAAAUAAAACAGAGUGAAAGAGGAUGAGAAAGAGAGAGAGAGAGAGAGAGGAGGGAAAGAAUGAUUUGAAUUUGGAACUUAGUGUGCAAUUUGGGUGAAAAAGAUAAAAAUGAUGCUAGGGAAUGAUUAGAAUUUGUAACUUACUGUAUCACUUUAAAAUGCUUUUAGUUUGAUUUUUUUAACAUAUAAUGAUAGUUAUUUGAAACUUUUGUCAUGGAAUUUACAGAGUUAGGGUAGCCAAUGAGUUAGGAGCUGGGAAUGGCAACGCAGCACGAUUUUCAACAAUUGUCUCUGUAAUACAAUCAAGUGUGAUUGGUAUCUUUUUUUGCGCUGUAAUCAUGAUACUCCAUGACAAGUAUGCCUAUUUAUUCACAUCCACCACUGAAGUGCUUGAAGCAGUUGAUAAGCUCUCUGUUUUAUUAGCUGCUACAAUUCUCCUAAAUGGUGUUCAACCUGUUCUAUCAGGUAAUUUCCAAUAAGAUUUUAUACUUUUGAAAACCACAGUGUAUAGAUGUACUUCUUGAAGAGCACCAUGAAUAUGAACCGUGAAAAAUACCAUAGAAUUGAACAAAUAAAAAUCCACUGUUCUAAUGUUUGUCUUUCAUUCUAUGUUUUACUAAUCAUUACCUAACAAAUGAUAUAUCACAUUUGAUAGAAUAUAAAAUGAAACACUCUUAGUCAAACAUAGUAUUUUUGUUUGUUUUAAACCUAUAUUUGCUAAUUAUACCUUUGAUUUGAAAAUUGGCAUUAAAUUUGGUCAAAACUUAAUAAAAGAAGAAGGUAUAGGUUAUCAAGCGAUGUCUCUAAGAACUAGUCUUUUUCUCUUUGAAAUCAAUUGUAAAUAUAUUUUCUUCACUAUGACAGGAGUGGCUGUUGGAUCGGGAUGGCAGGCAUGGUUUGCAUAUAUAAAUUUGGGCUGCUACUAUGUCGUUGGGCUCCCGCUUGGACUUCUAAUGGGAUUGGUCUUCGACCUUGGAGUUUUGGUUAGUGUUGUAACUUCUUUCAUUAGCCUCCAAUUCAGUAGAGAUUAUGAUAUAUACCAAAUCCGCCACUGGCAUUGUGGGCAUUUAUAUAUCAUAGUUGGUUCAGCCUCAACAUGGCCUAUAAUGAACAGAGUGAAGUCUAAAACCAAGUUCAGAACCCAAAAAAUAAAGAAAAGUCAAGAACAAAGCUAAGAUUCAUAUUUGUAGCAUGAAUAUAGGUCUACCAACUCAGUAGAUCAUGAAAGUCAAUGGGCAUCAAAAGUCAUGUACUCUGGGUAUGUUAAAUCCAUCAGAAAAAUUCUAGACACACGGUCAAUCGUACACUCAAUUUAACAACUUGUUGAUGUACGUUUAUAAAUUUAGUGGACACACAUUUUGUCCAUAUGGACCAUCGUUUUUCAUCAACCACUCACAAUCACAAAAGUGAACUAGUUGUGAAAUUGAGUACGAUAACACACAUGUAUCUGUAAUCCAGUUGUAGCACAAGUUGUACCAUUUUAUGUGGUGCUAGAGUUUUUCAUGAAUAAGGUGGUACAAAAACCAAAUAUAGUACUAGUAUACAAGGAAGUUUGGAUUUAUGGUCUGUUUGGAUAUUACUUAUUGCUGAAAACUGAAAACACUGCAGCAAAAUAAUUUUUAAAUAUGUAAAUAGUACUGUGAGACCAAUUUUUAAUGAAAAUUUUUAGGGUUGUCCACGGGUCGGGUUUGUGCCCAACCCGCAACCGACCCGAUCAGAUCGGGUGGAGAAAUUCCAGACCCGCCGCCAACCGUGAAAAGCCAUCGGUUGAGUCGGAUCGGGCUUGGGUGGACGGUGAUCAGCUUUGAUUUCGACUGAAAAUACAAACAUCAAACACAAACCCAAAGAAUAAAACCAAUGAUUCAAAAGAUCUAUAACAACAAACCCUUAGAUCAGAUCAACAAACCCAAAUUACAGAUCAGCAAACCCAAUAACAGAGAAUAGAGAGAUCUACAAACCCAAAUAACAGAGAAUAGGGAGAUCAAACUUGAGAGCUUGAACCUGAGAGAGAGAUAAUCAUAGAUCUGAAGUUCUGAACUGGUGAUGACCUGGCGAUUGAGAGUAGAUAGAUCAAACCUAAGAGAUAGAGGGGAUGGACACGAUGACCAGCUAGCGACGUUGCGUAUGAAGAGCAAAGAUCGACGACGUUGAGCAAAUAUAGGCGACGAGUAGAGAUUGGUGAGACAUCGUUAGAGGAGAGAGUAAGACUAGAAGAAUUAAGUCUGAGGUCUGGGUGAGUUCUGAAAAUCCUUUUAACCCAUUUACAGUCCAAUCAGGUCGGGUGGCUCAGGUUUUGGAAGAAAAGACCCGCCACUGACCCGCCGGAAUCGGUUUUGGAAAGGAAGGACCUGCCACUAACCACCGGAAUAGCCGGAUCAGGCGGUGGACGAUUCGGAUUUGGUCAGUUUGGCCAGGUGGGUUGGUUUAGCGGGUUGUUUGGACAGCCCUAAAAAUUUUGCUUAAAAAAAAGGUUUAUGGGUCUUGUCAACAGUGCUCAGGACCCAUGCACAAAACACUAGACAUGCAAACGCUAGAUGCUUGCCACUAUCCAAACAUUCACUUAGUUUGCAUUCCAGAUUGAAUGGUUGGUUGUCUUUUUGUUUUAUAAGGGUUUUCUGGCUGAUCAUAGAAGUAGUUUGGUUCUAAUACAAGUUAAACCAAAAUCAAAAUCAGUUCAAUUUUUCUUGUGGGUGUUUGACAUGCACAUGAAAAUUUAAAUUCUUUAAUGGAAAUAUGCAUGUUCAGCCAAAAACCAAUUUUUAUUUUAUUUUAUAGAAUAUGAAGUAUUUUUAACACACAUACUGAAAGAAGAAAUAAAGUCUUAAAGAAACAGUAGUUUAUAUUUAAAAAAACUUAAUUCUUGGAUGCAUAGCAGAAAAGAAAGAAACCACGAAAGCCAAAAACCAAAAUUUUAAAGACAUGAAUUUGGUGAGAAUGGAUACCCGAAAGAAUAAAAUUUAAAACUAAGGAAUAUAUAUGGUUCUAUUAGAACCAGUUUCUUAAAACAAAAGUUUACCGAACUAAAAAAAAAAAAGCAAUUAUGUUUUUCUUGGUGAAUUUUACAUUGUAUAAGCUCCUCUACAAAGAAUUUUCCAUUUGGCAUGACUACGAUUCCAAUGCGUUGAAACUGAAAUGUAAUAAAACUUGACGUGGCAGGGUAUCUGGGGUGGAAUGAUUUUUGGUGGGACUGCAAUCCAAACAGUGAUUUUGGCUAUCAUAACAGCGCGAUGCGAUUGGGAAAAGGAGGUACUAUAAUUUAACACAAUUUCACUUGUUAUAAUAACGUUGACAUCGUGUUAUGCUUGUGCAUGUAAAACCCAUAUGAAUUCAUUUGUUGUAUUCAUGGAUUUCAGGCUGAGAAAGCUAGCAUUCGCGUAAAUAAAUGGUCAAGUCCUAACCCACAAGAUGAAGAAGAAGAUCAAUCGGAGGUCCAACAAUGA
rnacentral:sRNA from 1 species